rnacentral:rRNA from 1 species
CUACGGGAGGCACCAGUGAGGAAUAUUGCACAAUGGGGGGAACCCUGAUGCAGCAACGCCGCGUGGAGGAUGACGCAUCUCGGUGUGUAAACUCCUUUUAUAUGUCAAGAAAAUGACGGUAGCAUAUGAAUAAGCACCGGCUAACUCCGUGCCAGCAGCCGCGGUAAUACGGGGGGUGCAAGCGUUACUCGGAAUCACUGGGCGUAAAGGACGCGUAGGCGGGUUGGAAAGUCAGGUGUGAAAUCCUACAGCUUAACUGUAGAACUGCACUUGAAACUUCUAAUCUAGAGUAUGGGAGGGGGAGAUGGAAUUAGUGGUGUAGGGGUAAAAUCCGUAGAUAUCACUAGGAAUACCUAAAGCGAAGGCGAUCUCCUGGAACAUUACUGACGCUAAGGCGUGAAAGCGUGGGGAGCAAACAGGAUUAGAUACCCCAGUAGUC